UUGGGAAUAAUAUAGAACAACUCAUGACCAAAAUCUUGAUUUGGUUUGGUAAUUUAACAUUGUUAGUGAAGGAGAUCCUAGGAAAAUAUGUGGAAGAAUAAGAUGAAAAGAUGAGGAGCCGUGAAUCAAAGUUUUAGUGAGCUAUCUUAACUAGAAUCCCCAUCAUUGAUGGGUUUGGCUAAGCUGAGACUCAAACAGUCCAAGUCAUUCUCAUGUCAAGGCCCACUUGUGCCCAUUCUAAACCCAAACAACCCCCAUUGACUUAAAAAACAAACAUUGACAUUGACAAAACAAAAGCCACCUUCCUAAGUCUAAUUUCAGUAAUUUCUAUCAUUCCAUGCCUCUUUUUUGUUGUACCUAUAUCCCAAUUUUCUUGUUCCAGUGAAAUAAAUAAAUGAAUGGCAGGUCAAAUCUAAUGAUCCAACGCCUCCUUCGCUCCCCACCCUCUCUACCAUCCAAUCAAAUUUAAGUACUAAAAUUUUCCAACCACCACCACAAAGUAAUAAAAAUCUCUAAUCUAUGUAAAACACUAAAACCCAACCAAAAAAACCUACUUGACUUGAUCUUUCCCAAAUAAAAGGUACAACUUCUUAAAACUUAAAACUUAAAACUAGAAAGCAAUCCAAUUCCACAUGAUAAAAAUAAAAAAAUGUAAAACUUUAUAUUCAGUUCCUUAGACCCAUUCUCCAAAAAAUAAAAAUAAAAAAAUAAAAAGUUCCUUAUGAUCAGUAAAAUCUUUAACGCUAAAUCCUAUAUCUAAAAAAUUAUACGCAAGUAAUUUUUUAUAAUAAAAGAAAAAAGACAUGUGAAAAAGGAACGUUAAAUUAACGCAUUAAACGGCCUUGUUGGAGGUUGUCGUGAGAGGUGGGACUGGGAAACAUCUCAAGGACACGGACCUUUCCUUUGACAGAGUAAAAUCCACCAUUAGAAUGAGUAUCUGUAUGACCAUGACUAAAUCACCAACUACUCACCCACCACCAUAACUCCAUUUUAAUAGAGGAAAACUAAUUAAAUUUUAUGUAAUAAUAAUAAAUAAAAAAAAAGAACAAUAACAAAAACAGAAUAACCAAACCAACAAAUAAUUAUUUUUCUUUCUCCAAAAAAAAAAAAUUAUUGUUUUUUUUUUUAAUUUGUUAUAAAUAUAUAGAUAUAAUUUUUGGGUUAUGCUCCUGGAUAUUAUUGGAGCCUGUACUUGACCAGCAGCUCGUGAUCUGGGAUCCCUUUGAAACAUCCUCUGAACCAAUUCUUUUUUCUGGGUUUUUGUUCAUUUUUCAAGGGGUUCCAGCUUCUGGGUGUUUUUUGUUUUUUUGGGUUUUGAAAGCAAAGGAAUUUCUUUGACUUUUUGUGUUUUCUGGAAGCGUUUUUGGAAAUGUGGAGGGACCCUGGAACUCCUGCUGAUUCUUACUAUCAGGUCCGCCCUGAAUGCACCGAUGUUCCAAAGACCCGCUUCAAAAUCAAGGCUGCAUUUACUUCAGAAGGGUAUCUGGAUAUCAGCAAGACUCUAAGUCGAAUCCAUCAUGGGGGAACAAAGCUGUGAGGAUUGCUGCUUAUCAUAAUUAUUUUCCAAAUUAGGGGAUAGAUGAUACAUCCAUCAACUAGAGGAGAAGUAUGGGAAUUUCUACUAAGUUGUUUUGAUCCUCAGAGUACAUUUGAUGAACCUUAGCAGAUAUGGCAGCAUCGAAGGUAGUCCAAUUUCCUUUUCCAUGAAAUCCAAAAUUUAGUUUCUUAAGGUUUGUAAUGGGUAGCACAGUUUCUUUCUUUUUAUUUAAUUAUAAAGGGUAGCACAUAGUGGGGAAUUAAUGGGGAAGGGUUAGGGAGAGAUUUAUGGUGUUGUUGCUUAAAGGAUCAAAUGAGUGAUUAAGUUUAAUUUUCUUUUGGGCCAUUUAAUUGUCUUCUUUUAUGUGCUAGAUAAUAUGGCACUAAAUAUGAAAGCAAACAUAACAAAGUCAUUGGUAAAAUGGCUAUUCAAUUUAUCGAAAAAAUCCCAAAAGACCAAUGGACCAAAACUACCUUCAUCUGGAGUUUUCUGCAUUGUUGUCCCAAAGUCAUUGGUAGAUUCCUUCCCAAUGACUAUAAUAAAAUGAAAGGCAUUUUUCCACUUAUCCAAGGAAUCUCUUUCUUGGCAUUUGUAUUUGAGAUGGAGCUAUGCUCAGGUCAGUUUCUUCAGUAAAUUUAUGUGGUAAUAAAAUGAAAUGUAAUGAAAAGAAGAACAAAAACAAAGACACAGUAACCAAACAAGAUAUGAUUAUAUUUUGUUUACUUUGUUUAAACUUUCAGUUAUGUUAUUUACUUGGUCAUUAUUUGGGCUGUACUUGUCCUGCCGCUUGUGAACUAAGACCCCUUUGAAACAUCUUUAGAGGCAUCUAAGACAAUUCUUUUUCUGGGAUUUUUUUCAUUUUUCAAUGGAUUCCAGCACCUGGGUGUUCUUUUGUUCUUUUUUUUGGUUUUGAAAGCAAAGAAAUUGCUUUGAGCUUCUGUGUUUUUGGAAAUGUGGAGACCCUAGAACUCCUGCUGAUUCUUUCUACCAGGUCUGCCCUGAGUGCACUUGUGUUCCAGGGACCUGCUUCAAAAUCAAGGUCAAAACUUUGGGAUAUUGUUGCCGUUUAUGCCUGGAUAGAUAGAGAUGUUGGCUAUUUUGUCAAGGUGGGUGAUUCAAAGGGAUGUCUAAUCUAAUGUGCCGUUAAGGGCUUGUUCACAUUAUUUGCAAAUUGGGAUCCAUUUUCCAUUGGGUCUUGAAUCUUGAUAAUAUGUUUCUCCAUUCUCAUGACAUUUACAUGACAUGAAGUUAGCUGUGGUUCGGUCCAGGAAGCUCCUUUGAUCCCUCCUCCUCUAUUACUAGUUAAUGCAAGCAACUCUAAAGUGCAUGUUGGCUUUCAAAGAAUUACCAACUCACGGAUCUUUCCAUUGACAGAGUAAUCCACCAUAAUAAAACAGUUACCUGCUCAUCACCAACCACCACAUGUUGCGACGACCACUGCUUCUGGGAUUGCACAUCUUAUUUAAUUGGAUUAGUUUAGAAUUUCAGUUUCUUGGAUUUGAUUUCAUCUAUUUUUAGAUUACUGUCAGUUGGGAGUUUUAUGGAACAUUAUCUUUUAUUCCUAAACUGGUGUUUUUAUUUGACUAUAUGGUUAGACUUUGAUGAAUGAAAUUUGAGAUUGGAAAUAUCCUAAAA